CGCUGUAUUACUCAGGCUGCACUACAGCGUCUAUUCACAGGCGCGAGCCCACUACUGAGCGGCACGGGGGCUUUGACCUGCUCCGUUACCGACCUGGGCCGGUGCACCCCUCCUUAGGCGACCUGGUGGUCCCGGGCUCCCCCAGAAGCACCAUAUCGAUACCGAACUUAGUGCGGACACCCGAUCGACAUAGUCCGCUGCAGCUCAGAGCUCCUGAGCGCAAACGAUCCGCCAGCCUCAGCCUCCCAGUAGCUUGGAUUACAGGCACGCGCCACCGCACCCGGCGAAGGAGCGGGUCAUUCAUGGCGGGUUUGGGUUUUACGGGAGUGACGUCAUCAAAGGGCGGUUGGAUCACGAUUUUCUUUUAGCAAUCUAUGGCGUUUAUUCAGUAGAUUCUGUGAACGACGUGAACACCGUUGUGGGAAUGUUGCUUAACAAUACUCAACUCUGACAUGAACUCAAAUUUAAAAAAUUGCAAUUUGUCAGCUUUUCAUUUGAGGCUGUAAGGUACAUGUUGUCUGCCUGCCUGUCUGUCUGUCUGUCUACCAAACAGUGUGUGAUAUGACACAAUCAGUUCUAAGGUCUGAUCUCAGAACUGUAUCUAUACUUCACCUUGAUUAUACAGCACAAUUUUUGAUCAAAGCUCCACCUUUUGGUUUUACCCUGGAAUUGCGUCAUUUGUGCUUAAAAUGGGGAUGGCCACAUUAGCAUGUUUAACAUGCCGACAGCACAAGAAGGGGGGCUGCUGGUAACCGGCUGGAAAGGCACUGGUAUGAGGAGUGUCAGCGCCUAGACAACUAAGAUCCUGCAUUCCAAGCAGCCCACACCCAAGCUGGAGAUGACACCCACCGGACAAACCAUCGCUGCACAUUCACUUUCAGUGCAGCUGUGGAGGCUGGAGAACUUCAUCCAGAGUUUCCUUGACAACAGAGACGAGAUCAGACGGGGACCAUAGGACCACAUGGAGAAAUGUUGUCACCUGCGUUUUUGGCGGCUCAAUAACACCCUGCACUUACAACCUCCAGUCCAGACAAAGAGGAGCCUCCGGAUUCCAACCACAUAGAGGAAGUGACUUUAUCACCGCUUCUUUUGUGCUGCUGGGUUUGGAAGCUCUUCAACUCAUUGUUGGCCUCACUUUGAGCAGAAGACGGUCAAGACAAGACAUCAAGUACCAGUUUCAUAGAUAAUCUAGAAACAUCUCUCAGAAGCUUCAAUGAACCAAUUUAAUGUUAACCAUAUAUUUUUAUAUUUUAUUUCAUGUUUAUGUUCCACUGUAAGAUUGUGACCAAGUUGGUAAAAUGCUAAAAUUCUUCUCCUUAGGAUUUAACACCUGUAUAAACUGGUAAUUACACGCUGAGAUCAGUGUUGUAAAACUAAUCAGGAUGUUUAUUUGUUCAUUUCAACAUCUUCUUACUUCACUUUACUCCAUACAUCAAUUUACCAAAUAUACGUGUAAUAAUUGACUAUUUGCCUUAAAAUUCUGUAGAAAUUGCAACAACGAUUGUGUCUUUUACAAGGAAACAGGUUCACUGAGACAGGAUGUGAUAAGUGGUCACAGAGGACAAAUGUCCAAAUACAGAUUAAAGCAGAGAUGUUCACAACAACAGCUUUAAGAUUAACAGUGACAUAUUUUAUUCGCUGGUCCUGGUAAUGCGGAAAAGACUGAGGGAGAACUACUAGUAGUAGAAUCACUGACUUUAGUGAAUGAAAUAUUACAGUGUCAUAUAUGUCGUAUCAACAGUAGAAGCUCAUUGGACAUAUCUGAGUCUGAUGUUUACUUUUGAGAUUUACGCUGAAGUAUAGCACAGUGUCUUUAACAUUAUGAACACACACUACUGCACUGCCAGUUUAAGCUGCAUGUUGUUAGCCCACACUGGGUCACAACAUCUAUCUUCAGAUCCUGGGUUCAACUUUCGGAAAGGAGCCACGCUGAUCUGGGAUCAGUGGUACGUCAACACAAGUCAGAAUUUUUUCUGGACACCAGGAUAUUAGAAAAUACACAACAGGCUUAGACAGAAAAUAUAUAUAGGAUUACAGGAAUAAUCAGUUUCAUCUGAACCUGAGACGGAAUCAGUUUUUCAGUUUAGCUGUUAUCCAGUUGGAAAACACAGCAGCAAGUCCAGAGUAUAAGAUUGCUCUGGAACAAUGCUGACAUUUCUGACAAAGGCUUUCACAGGUGAGAUGAUCUGAUGUCUUUAGAACCCAGUGUCAGAUUUUAACAAUGUGUAUGUUACAAUCUACACUACACUGCCACCAACCUGGUAUUCACUGACAGCGUCAUCAAAGAAAAGAUAAAGGAUUCUCACCAACAUGGUGUGAAAUUAUGACGUCGUCCUGAAAAGAGAACCACAACACACACAAUCACGAUGAGCAGCUCCUCUGUAACACAGGCACAUGAUGCAUGACAGAAAUGUCACGACCAGUUGUGCACUACCAACAAUGCUCAUACCUACGUAAGUCUCUGUGACUUACGUAGGUAUGAGUGUGUGUGGUCUCGCUGCCCCUUGUGACAGACUGAGCAGCCCAUUUGCUGGAUGCCCAAGUUGCUGCUGUGUCUCAGCCAGAAAAUUCUGCUGGUCCACUCUGUGGAAAAACCAUGAAAAUUUAACCAAAACGUAAAGGCCAAUGAAGUGGUUUUGGAUGUAAGCAGUGAGACCGUGUUUGGCUAAUUUAUCAUAUUUUCUCAUACAACUCUUUAUUUAAAUCUCCAAUCUCCUUUCCUUUUUUAAUGCUCAAGAUUUCUAAAUCUACAACAGGAAUCUCCAUCCUCUAUAGUGGAGUUUUUGGCCAAAAUACAGUUGGACAAUGCCUGAGAAUAUGAGCAAAAAACGAAAUAUAUUCAAUCUGUGAAACCAAUAAACCAUCUGAAAAUUGUUUUGAAAAAAAAUUGUUUUUUUUGAAGAUGUUUACCCAGCUUUAAAUUUAGUGGAGAAAUCUACCUGUUAAAUAUGUGCAUAUAUGUGCAAUAAUAGAA